CGGCCAAAAGAGAGGGCUUCUUUUCAUGGAGCAGAAUCAAAAGAAGAGAAGCCAACAAAAGGAGGGAGGGAGAAAGAAAGAAAGGAAGAAGCAUGCAGCAAAGCGCAUCGCUGCGUGCGUGCCUGCAACUGCAAUUCCUCAGCAGUAGACCGCUGGCUGGUACAAGCGUGCAUGCAUGCAAUGCAUGGACCGGAGCCGGAGGAGGUAGUGACUAGUGAGCUGCAUGUGAUGGGGGAGCAGCCUUUCUCGCGCCCAUGACCGACGACGACGUCCUUCCCUGCGCCGAAGACGACGAUGGUCUGCUCUCCGUUGAACGAAAACGAACAACGGGUUCAAAGUUGCGCUCUCCCCCGUUCUCUGGUUUCUUUCUUUUCUCGCUGACUCUGAUUGUGCCACCGCCCACCGCUUUUGCUGAAAGGCAGGGGCUGGGCUGGGGCAGGAGAAUCGCAGUUGCAGGAGGCGCAUGAUCUUAUCUGCAGACUGCAGCUACAGACUACCACAACACAGGGGCUUGGAGAACCGGGGGAGGGGGGCAAAGGUAGCUCAUGAACUGCUACUCAUUUGUACCGAAUCUACUGAUCGGCUGCCACUCAUUUUGUAGCAGUAUGAGACUGAUCAUUUCCCAUUCAAGUUACAACUCGGUGUUAAUCCUAGUGACACGCACGCUUGUGUUGUGAGUCGUGAUCUGAAAGAGAAAUGACUCAUGUACAGGGAGCCAAAGCCAAGCCAACACGAAUGAACCUUCGCCUAUCUUUCAGAACAGAAGAGCUGCGCUUUCUUUCAGAGUCUAGGUCUCGGCUACGGCUUCUAGGAUCACUGAUUCCGUGCUCUUCCCAGCUAGACAGAGNNNNNNNNNNNNNNNNNNNNNNNNNNNNAGCUAGACAGAGAAUCUUUGGACUAGUGCCGGGACAAUUUUAUUCUGACGGAAUAGGUAUUCCUGUCGACUGUCGACUGCCUUUUUCCUUCCUUACCUUAUUGGCCGUGGAUGCAAUGCAGCAAAACAGUGGGUGGAUCGGAUUUGGCAACAGCUAAGAACAGAACAGCACCGUUAUUUCAGCAGAAGAUGGUACGUAGCUCUCGACCAUUUUUACUCGGAACUACGAGUAGUACGUAGUAGCAAGAAUACAAAACCGUUAAUACCACUGACAAAAGAUAAAGGCUGGCUAACAAAGGUGAAAAAAGCGAGGAAGUUUCUGUUUACUCGGAUGUAGGGGUGAGAUCUGAAACAUCUCUGCCGAUACAUUCACCUUUUGCGGAGACCGAAGCAAAGCAAAGGGAGAGACCAGCCACAUGGUGACGGUGAGAAAGGCGUUGCUUUUUCUCCAACGUAGGAGAGGAGCAAGUCAAUUCCCCUAUCAUUUCGGCCCAUUUGUUUCUGAGGCAAAAAGCGGCCAGGGGCUGCGGCGAGGGACAGAUUAGAAGAAAG
rnacentral:lncRNA from 1 species